AGCAAGCCAGGAAGGAGGAGGCAGCCAGAGUGUUCUCUGCAGCAGAAGACCCCUUGCUGCCCUGCUUAACCCAGACCAGCAUUUGCCAGGUGAAGAAAUGGACACUUUGCGAUGGUGAAAAUUCCAUGCAAGGAAGCCAACUGGCAGAAGAUCAACAUCAAUGUCAGGAUCCAAAAGAAACCUGGACCCGAGGUCAGCGCAUUAUUGAACACUAAAUGGGGAAGAAGCAGAGAAGGAGAGACCAGCUCAUAUUUGCAUCAGGAAUGGCAUCUCUAUCAC